rnacentral:lncRNA from 1 species
GUUGGAGUCAACUCGUGGUCUCGGUCUUCAGAUUCAAGAUUGAUCCUAGAGUUGAAAGGGGGAAAAAAAUUAAGAAAAAUCAAAAAAACGAAGUUGGAGUCAACUCGUGGUCUUGGUCUUCAGAUUCAAGAUUGCUCCUAGAGUUGAAAGGGGAAAAAAACCAGAGCAAGCUAAGGUUCGUUGUUGGAGUCAACUCGUGGUCUUGGUCUUCAGAUUCAAGAUUGAUCCUAGAGUUGAAAGGGGGGGAAAAAAAUUAAGAAAAAUCAAAAAAAGGAAAAAAUUGGGUUAGAGAUCCACCGAGGUGGGUAGCCUUAACCGGAUGUGUACGGUAACAGGUAAAGCCCGAAAGCCGUUCCCGUCCCUGUCGGGGGAGAUGCCAACCAUCUCUCCUUUCUAUGAACACGCCACGUUUCCCUUAGAAUUUAAUAUAUAAAGAAGUUUAUAUUUUAGAAAACUUUCGAUGUGGGAAAAUUGGAACCUCGAAUUCCAUGUCUUCACCACCUAGCUGAGGAAGAACGUGUUCGCAGGACAUUACAGUAGCCUAUUAUGCAUAAUUCUCAGUAAAUUCAAGCAUUAAUCAAUUUCUUCUUUUUCUCUGUACUAAAUAUAGAAUUUGUUCAUCAGGUUCUUCUUGCUCGCAUUUUGCUGAUUGUGUGUUUUACAAUGAUUUUGAUCGAUCUAAUUUUAGAUUUUUCAAGUUAUCUGUUCCUUCAAGAUAAUCUAAAUUGGCUGGAAACAACUGAUUAGUGUCACAUAAUCAUUAUAAGCCCUUGUUUUGUAUGAACAUAUGAGAAUUUUUUUGUCUGUUAUUCUCGUAUUACUGAAUGAAUCAGUAGAGUUCAAAAGGUUAUUUGGUUUUUCCAUGUAAUGUUGCCCAAGUCAGUACAUGAGUAAGAUCAUGCAAAUUUUAGUGAUGCGUAUAUAAAUGCUGCAACUUUAUUCAUCUGCAGUGAAAAAAAUAGUCGUUAAAUCUAUACCAGGUUGUGGUUGUGAGUAUUCAAAUCCCACCCGAGCACAAGUAAUGAAUUCACUAAAUUCAUGUUUCUUAGUUUCUUUAGCUAUAUGUGGAUUGAUCUUUAAUUUUUGACAUUUUUCUUUAAACGGAGAUUCUGUUAUUAGACGUGACAUUUCACUUGGAAAAGAAGCGUUUUCUAUAUCCAUAACCGCGGAUUUAAUUGUACUAGAUCUUGUAGCACUUCAUUGAUUAGUAUUGCAUAGACCUUCAUUGAACGUCGUUUUUUACGAGUCUUUACAGAACCCUUUGAAGUUUCUGCACAACUAUUCAGGUACAAUACAUGUUACUUUGUAUAAUUGUCCUCUUGUAGGCAGAGAGAGAGUUGUCUAUAAAGCGCGAAUCAAGGUGUGGUUGCCUUACCACUUGGCCGCGCCCCAUUAUCAAUUUCUAAUCUACACAGAUACUGCCAAGUAUCUGGUGUUCUGAGUCAAUCAAAGAAAUUCAUUUUUCUAAAGUAUCAUGAGAAAAAGAUUUUUGAAACAACGGGACAAGAAAUCCAAUUUGUCAUUUAGACGAAAAAGACUCUGAUGACAGCAGUGGCCACCACCAGAAUUACGGUGAGGAUGGCCAGGAUGCUUAUAGCCGGAAUCCAACUAAUCACGGCAGUUAUUCCGACCGAAAGAACACAUAGAUAUGGGCCAUAAGUCGACUAGGGCGGCAAACUGGCUUCCUAUAACCAUGACUCUGUUAAUGUUGGCGUCGCCACCGUGGUUGUAACAGGCUUCAUUACCAACAACUUGUUAUAGACACUUCAUUUUCUAUUCUCAUGGUUCAAGAAUAACUGGAUCAAUUGCUUCUGGCUGC